GGUUGUAUAGAUUAAUUUUUAUAAAUCAUGAUGCUGUUAACUUCAAGAUGGGUUAUUUGCUCUAUAACCG
rnacentral:tRNA from 1 species